rnacentral:rRNA from 1 species
CCUACGGGUGGCAGCAGUAGGGAAUCUUUCACAAUGGGCGAAAGCCUGAUGGAGCAACGCCGCGUGCAGGAUGAAGGCCUUCGGGUUGUAAACUGCUUUUAUAAGCGAGAAAUAUGAUGGUAACUUAUGAAUAAGGAUAGGCUAGCUACGUGCCAGCAGCCGCGGUCAUACGUAGGAUCCGAGCAUUAUCCGGAGUGUCUUGGUGUAAAGAGUUGCGUAGGUGGCAUAAUAAGUAGCUAGUGGAAUCUGGAGGCUCAACCAUUCAGACUAUUAGCUAAACUGUUAAGCUCGAGACCGUUAGGGGUAAGUGGAAUUUCUGGUGUAGGAGUGAAAUCCGUAGAUAUUAGAAGGAACACCGAUUGCGUAGGCAGGUUGCUGGGACGGUUCUGACACUAAGGCACGAAAGCGUAGGGAGCAAACAGGAUUAGAUACCCUUGUAGUC